GAUGAACGCUGGCGGCGUGCCUAAUACAUGCAAGUCGAGCGAACGGACGAGAAGCUUGCUUCUCUGAUGUUAGCGGCGGACGGGUGAGUAACACGUGGAUAACCUACCUAUAAGACUGGGAUAACUUCGGGAAACCGGAGCUAAUACCGGAUAAUAUUUUGAACCGCAUGGUUCAAAAGUGAAAGACGGUCUUGCUGUCACUUAUAGAUGGAUCCGCGCUGCAUUAGCUAGUUGGUAAGGUAACGGCUUACCAAGGCAACGAUGCAUAGCCGACCUGAGAGGGUGAUCGGCCACACUGGAACUGAGACACGGUCCAGACUCCUACGGGAGGCAGCAGUAGGGAAUCUUCCGCAAUGGGCGCAAGCCUGACGGAGCCACGCCGCGUGAGUGAUGAAGGUCUUCGGGUCGUAAAGCUCUGUUAUUAGGGAAGAACAUAUGUGUAAGUAACUGUGCACAUCUUGACGGUACCCAAUCAGAAAGCCCCGGCUAACUACGUG
rnacentral:rRNA from 1 species